AUUGAACGCUGGCGGCAGGCCUAACACAUGCAAGUCGAGCGGAUGAGAGGAGCUUGCUCCUCGAUUCAGCGGCGGACGGGUGAGUAAUGCCUAGGAAUCUGCCUAGUAGUGGGGGACAACGUUUCGAAAGGAACGCUAAUACCGAAUACGUCCUACGGGAGAAAGUGGGGGAUCUUCGGACCUCACGCUAUUAGAUGAGCCUAGGUCGGAUUAGCUAGUUGGUAGGGUAAAGGCCUACCAAGGCGACGAUCCGUAACUGGUCUGAGAGGAUGAUCAGUCACACUGGAACUGAGACACGGUCCAGACUCCUACGGGAGGCAGCAGUGGGGAAUAUUGGACAAUGGGCGCAAGCCUGAUUCAGCCAUGCCGCGUGUGUGAAGAAGGCCCUCGGGUCGUAAAGCACUUUAAGUUGGGAGGAAGGGCUUACAGCGAAUACCUGUGAGUUUUGACAUUACCGACAGAAUAAGCACCGGCUAACUUCGUGCCAGCCGCCGCCGAAA
rnacentral:rRNA from 1 species